rnacentral:rRNA from 1 species
GAUGAACGCUAGCGGCAGGCUUAACACAUGCAAGUCGAGGGGUAUAGUUCUUAGGAGCUAGAGACCGGCGCACGGGUGCGUAACGCGUAUGCAAUCUACCUUUUGCAGAGGGAUAGCCCAGAGAAAUUUGGAUUAAUACCUCAUGGUAUGUGAGAAUGGCAUCAUUUUCACAUUAAAGUCACAACGGCAAAAGAUGAGCAUGCGUCCCAUUAGCUAGUUGGUAAGGUAACGGCUUACCAAGGCAACGAUGGGUAGGGGUCCUGAGAGGGAGAUCCCCCACACUGGUACUGAGACACGGACCAGACUCCUACGGGAGGCAGCAGUGAGGAAUAUUGGACAAUGGGCGCAAGCCUGAUCCAGCCAUGCCGCGUGCAGGAUGACGGUCCUAUGGAUUGUAAACUGCUUUUGUACAGGAAGAAACACUGGUUCGUGAACCAGCUUGACGGUACUGUAAGAAUAAGGAUCGGCUAACUCCGUGCCAGCAGCCGCGGUAAUAC